rnacentral:rRNA from 1 species
AUGCAUAGGAAUCUGCCCGAUAGUGGGGGAUAACCUGGGGAAACCCAGGCUAAUACCGCAUACGUCCUACGGGAGAAAGGGGGCUCCGGCUCCCGCUAUGGGAUGAGCCUAUGUCGGAUUAGCUAGUUGGUGAGGUAACGGCUCACCAAGGCUACGAUCCGUAGCUGGUCUGAGAGGAUGAUCAGCCACAUCGGGACUGAGACACGGCCCGAACUCCUACGGGAGGCAGCAGUGGGGAAUAUUGGACAAUGGGGGAAACCCUGAUCCAGCCAUGCCGCGUGUGUGAAGAAGGCCCUCGGGUUGUAAAGCACUUUCAGCGAGGAAGAACGCCUAGCGGUUAAUACCCGCUAGGAAAGACAUCACUCGCAGAAGAAGCACCGGCUAACUCCGUGCCAGCAGCCGCGGUAAUACGGAGGGUGCAAGCGUUAAUCGGAAUUACUGGGCGUAAAGCGCGCGUAUGUGGCUUGAUAAGCCGGUUGUGAAAGCCCCGGGCUCAACCUGGGAACGGCAUCCGGAACUGUCGAGCUAGAGUGCAGGAGAGGAAGGUAGAAUUCCCGGUGUAGCGGUGAAAUGCGUAGA